rnacentral:rRNA from 1 species
GAAACUAAAUAGGAUUCCCUUAGUAAUGGCGAAUGAACAGGGAUGAGCUCAACAUGGAAAUUUUGGCUUCUGGCCACGAAUUGUAAUCUCUCGACGCGCUGCCAACAGGGGCGUAGAUGUAAGCCGCUUGGAAAAGCGAAUCACUGAGGGUGAGAAUCCUGUUUGUCAUCUGCAGACCUCUGUGUACGGCACACGUUCUAAGAGUCACGUUCCUUGGGAUUGGAGCGCAAAUUGGGUGGUAAAUUUCAUCUAAAGCUAAAUAUGGGUUCGAGACCGAUAGCAAACAAGUACCAUGAGGGAAAGAUGAAAAGGACUUUGAAAAGAGAGUUAAAAGUGCCUGAACUUGCUGAAAGGAAAGCGGAUGGAACCAGUUUUGCUUGGUGAGAUUGUUGCACGCAGCAAUGACCACCUUCUAUUCCAGCGCAAGCGGGGUGGUGGGCUGUGAUUUGUUCGGGUGUGAUGUUUCUUGCCUUGUGUGUCAUCAUCAGUUUGGCGGUGGGGACAACUCUUGGGACCUGGUAGCUUGCCUCUGGGUGAGUGAAUGUGCCUUGCAGGACCCACCAACAAACUGUUCAUCAUUUGUGGGGCUGCGUUGCUUCGUGUUGCGUGCUCUGGCGAGCUUCACACGCGUGGCACCUUCCUUACAAGCAAAUGGUGACGAAAUGGUUCUAUUCGACCCGUCUUGAAACACGGACCAAGGAGUCUAACAUAUGUGCGAGUUCAUGGGUGGUAAAACUUGCGUGCGCAAUGAAAGUGAUUGCUGAGAUAUUAGCAUCAGCGGCCGACCAAUCAAUUGGGAGAGGUUUGAGCAUGAGCAUAUCUGUUAGGACCCGAAAGAUGGUGAACUAUGCCUGAGAAGGGUGAAGUCUGGGGAAACUCAGAUGGAGGCUCGUAGCGAUACUGACGUGCAAAUCGUUCGUCAUACUUGGGUAUAGGGGCGAAAGACUAAUCGAACCAUCUAGUAGCUGGUUCCC